UACGUAGGGUGCGAGCGUUGUCCGGAAUUAUUGGGCGUAAAGAGCUCGUAGGCGGUUCGAUAAGUCGGAUGUGAAAUCUCCACGCUCAACGUGGAGAGGCCAUUCGAUACUGUCGUGACUCGAGUCCGGUAGGGGAGUGUGGAAUUCCCGGUGUAGCGGUGAAAUGCGCAGAGAUCGGGAGGAACACCCGUAGCGAAGGCGGCACUCUGGGCCGGUACUGACGCUGAGACGCGAAAGCGUGGGGAGCGAACAGG
rnacentral:rRNA from 1 species